rnacentral:rRNA from 1 species
AAAUGAAUUGACGGGGGCCCGCACAAGCGGUGGAGUAUGUGGUUUAAUUCGAAGCAACGCGAAGAACCUUACCAAGGCUUGACAUCCCCCGGACCGGCUUAGAGAUAAGCCUUCCCUUCGGGGCUGGGGAGACAGGUGGUGCAUGGUUGUCGUCAGCUCGUGCCGUGAGGUGUUGGGUUAAGUCCCGCAACGAGCGCAACCCUUGUUUUCAGUAGCCAGCGCGUAAAGGCGGGCACUCUGGAAAGACUGCCGUGGAUAACACGGAGGAAGGUGGGGAUGACGUCAAAUCAUCAUGCCCCUUAUGUCUUGGGCUACACACGUACUACAAUGGGCGCGACAAAGCGAAGCGACGGCGCGAGCCUAAGCAAAGCGCAAAAAAGCGCUCUCAGUUCGGAUUGCGGGCUGCAACCCGCCCGCAUGAAGUUGGAAUCGCUAGUAAUCGCGGAUCAGCAUGCCGCGGUGAAUACGUUCCCGGGCCUUGUACACACCGCCCGU